ACGGGUGAGCGGGAAGUUACUCAAGGGGAGGAGGCGCGGUCUGAGAUUUCUGCGAUUUUCCCGGAAAAGGGGUCAUGUCGGGGACAUAGUCACUCAAGGUGGAGGACACAGGACAAGAUGGAAUCGGCUGGCAUAGGCCCUCCCUUUCAAGGGAGGGUCUCCCUGGGGAGUUUUGCUGCAUUCAGAACAACUGGACUAAGAUGCCUCCUAGGGAAGAGUUUGGGAGUGAAGGGGGCGACAGUCUGGAUGCAGGAAGACAUCCUAGCAGGUGGGGCUGGCAGCAGCAGCUGCCCUCCAGAUGCCGGCUCUGCGUGGAGCCUCCCGGCGGACGAGCAGAGCAGACAGAAACUGGCUGCUCGGCGGCAGAGAAAGCAGAAGACAGGAAGAGGCAAACCGCUUCUUGUCCCCACUGUCUAUGCCUGGCCCGGAGGGUUUGCCUGGCGCACAAGGACCCGGGAUACGGGGCUGCUGGGCAUGCAGUGCAGCCCUGGUGAGGUCGAGGAGGGGGGUGCAGCUUCUGUGUACCGCAGGGCAGUCCGAGGCCACGUCCCUGCUUGUCACAGCCUCGCCUGAAGAAGGGUGCAGGCUCUACUUGAGUCUGGAGUCCCGUCCCCUCUCUUGCCCAUUUCUAGGCAUCAUACCACCACCACCCACCCUCCCAGACCCCAUGUGGCCAAUGGGAUGCAGCUUUUCAACAAAGAAAACUGUAUGCUUUUGCAGAGCUCAGAAACUGAACUCCAAAGCACACAAAUGCUACUCGUAUCCCCCCCAACCGAAGGUUCCCCCAAUACCAGCCCUCUUGGCCUCCUAAAGCCAGAGGGAAGUGGGCUCUUCUGAUGUGAAAUGAUGUCUAAAUGCAAGAUGCAUUUUUGAAUGGAAUCAUACAUGACUUCAAAGGGCCCAUGUGAAACAUGGGAUGUGCAUAGAUGCAAAAGCAUCACCUGCAGCCAAACCCUCCCAAACUGCAGGAGGAAAUUCUUGCCGAAGGCCACUUACCUGGCACACUGGAGGUGAAUCACGGACCUUGGACCGACUGUGGGAGUCAGGAGAACGGGGCAGGAGGGAGAUGGGGAGGAAUGGCCAGUCACCUCCAUUUUCUCUCUCCGGGAGCCACAUCUGGUGAAGAGAGACCAUCCAGGAUGAGGACGGCAGGUGUGGCCUAGGGGAAGGAUUCCACAUGUCCCUGUAACAAUUAAGCUCACCCGAGUCCCUCCAACAGACCACUGUCCUUGGCUGCUUCAAACAGGAUGGGACUCGGGGAACAAGAGAGGGAGACAGAAAAAGAGGAAGGUGAAGCCACUACCUUGUCUUUUCCAUGGCACACUUGCCCCUGGACAGCCUGACAUGUUUUCUGAUAAGCAGAGAACUUUCUGACUUUUCCUACUGAUGUUACUGACAGCCUGUAACCAGAGCUCCAACUUAUCUUCUCACCUGAGCUGGAUGGGGCUGGGGGCUGGGGAGUGCUGUUGACAUUCAGGUACAGUCAUUACAAGGCAUCGCUGUUGCUUGAGUCUGGCCAAAACCAGUGCUUUCGCUGAGACCACAGGAUAAGGGGGGCUUUGGAGGGGGCCUCAAUGGCAGAUGGUUGCUCCUUUGUAACGGAAGGGGAGGAAGAGCCCCCUACCUCUGGGAGUUGGUAUCCUGCCUUAAGAAACUCAUCCAAGUGACUCUGGAGAGAGGGGAGUUUUGCGGGCCUACCUGGUGCCAUUGAGGACAAAGCAGUGGCAUCUGCUGGAGCCCCUCCCCCCUCUACUCUGGUGUGGUUUUCAUGUUGGGAUUAGAAGCUUCAUGGCAGAGAAGCGCCAGUGAGAAGAAUGUGGGAUCUGGAGCUGAGCACACGUUUAUUUUCUGUCCCUGCCUUUUGACCCUCUGGCUGGUGCUGGCAGUGGGUGUGACCUUCAAGUUGUCUGGCCCCUCAGGCACCCACUUAGCCAACGUGAUUUGCACCUUUGUUGUGGUAAACAAGGGAGACUCUCCAGCUUAACCUUCUGGAUGGGUCUGAAAAGCCAGUUACUGUUGAAAAGCUCUUCAGUUUCUUUGAGAGUUAAAACAUAAAUUGGGGGAAAAUAAAUUUGAAAGGGGGAAACAUACUCUCUGAAGACAAGGACUUGUCAAAUACUGGUGUAGAAUUUUCCCUCUGAAUCAAUUAUGUUCUUCUGUACAGAUAACAGCAUAGGGCACAGUGCUCAGCGCUGGAAAUGAAAGACCUAAUUCCUGCCCUGAGGAGCUUAUCAUCUGCGUCAAACUGUGGUCUCCUCUUCCAGCAAGACAGUGAGUUUCCUUCCAUAGGCUCUGGCCUGAUGCAUGCAGGUAAGCGGGUGCUCGGCCAGGCAAGAAGCCAUUCCCUAAAAGACCUGAGUGUAGCUCCCGACCCAGCCGCUGUGAACCGUGCUUGGCCCCACAAGAGAAAGGAAAACAGGAGAGACAUUGGAUUGGAUCUUCCAGAAGGUCUUUGUUGCAAUUUUCUGCAUCAUUGGAAAAAAAAUUACAUCAUCAUCAAAUAAAGACAAUAGCAGCACAGCUUAUUGAAAUGUUA